UCCGUAGGUGAACCUUGCGGAAGGAUCAUUACCGAGUGAGGGCCCUCUGGGUCCAACCUCCCACCCGUGUCUAUCGUACCUUGUUGCUUCGGCGGGCCCGCCGUUUCGACGGCCGCCGGGGAGCCUUGCGCCCCCGGGCCCGCGCCCGCCGAAGACCCCAACAUGAACGCUGUUCUGAAAGUAUGCAGUCUGAGUUGAUUAUCGUAAUCAGUUAAAACUUUCAACAACGAUCUCUUGGUUCCGGCAUCGAUGAAGAACGCAGCGAAAUGCGAUAAGUAAUGUGAAUUGCAGAAUUCAGUGAAUCAUCGAGUCUUUGAACGCACAUUGCGCCCCCUGGUAUUCCGGGGGCAUGCCUGUCCGAGCGUCAUUGCUGCCCUCAAGCACGGCUUGUGUGUUGGGCCCCCGUCCCCCUCUCCCGGGGGACGGGCCCGAAAGGCAGCGGCGGCACCGCGUCCGGUCCUCGAGCGUAUGGGGCUUUGUCACCUGCUCUGUAGGCCCGGCCGGCGCCAGCCGACACCCAACUUUAUUUUUCUAAGGUUGACCUCGGAUCAGGUAGGGAUACCCGCUGAACUUAAGCAUAUCAAUAAGCGGAGGA
rnacentral:rRNA from 1 species